ACGUUGUCGCGGGCCAGUAACGUCAUCAGACUGUGUGUGUCCCUGCGGCGCUAAGCAAGAGGGGGAGACUGAGGCUGAGGCUGGGGAACAUCGGGCAGCAUGAGCGGCUGCGGGCUCUUCCUGCGCACCACGACUGCGGCUCGUGCCUGCCGGGGUCUGGUGGUCUCUACCGCGAACCGGCGGCUACUGCGCACCAGCCCGCCUGUACGAGCUUUCGCCAAAGAGCUUUUCCUAGGCAAAAUCAAGAAGGUAACGCGAGCCCUGGGCGAACCCUUGCUGUCUGGCUCCCGCUUUUCACCCUCAGCUGCAAGACUGGUGUUGAACUUUGUGAGAUUCCCCAAACCUGCCAGAGAGAUACACCCUGCGGCCGAGGCGUGUUAACACUCCGGAUUCCUGAGUUCCAGGAAAACCUUCCCAGAGAAAGGGUGAGACAUUUCCAAGACGGGGGACCCUUGGAAAUGUGGUGGUGACGUGUUCCAGCUAAAUUUUGUCAGGGGAAUUCGGAAAACUCUAGGCUAGAAAGAAGUUUUCCCAUUUCCAGAAGUUAGCCAAGAUG
rnacentral:sRNA from 1 species